rnacentral:rRNA from 1 species
UUGUGCCUGUACCGCAAACCGACACAGGUAGGCGAGGAGAGAAUCCUAAGGUGAUCGAGAGAACUCUCGUUAAGGAACUCGGCAAAAUGACCCCGUAACUUCGGGAGAAGGGGUGCUCUGGUAGGGUGUUAAAGCCCGAGAGAGCCGCAGUGAAUAGGCCCAGGCGACUGUUUAGCAAAAACACAGGUCUCUGCAAAACCGCAAGGUGAAGUAUAGGGGCUGACGCCUGCCCGGUGCUGGGAGGUUAAGAGGAGAGGUCAGCGCAAGCGAAGCUUCGAAUUGAAGCCCCAGUAAACGGCGGCCGUAACAAUAACGGUCCUAAGGUAGCGAAAUUCCUUGUCGGGUAAGUUCCGACCCGCACGAAAGGCGUAACGAUCUGGGCACUGUCUCAACGAGAGACUCGGUGAAAUUAUAAUACCUGUGAAGAUGCAGGUUACCCGCGACAGGACGGAAAGACCCCGUGGAGCUUUACUGUAACCUGAUAUUGAAUUCCGGUGCAGCCUGUACAGGAUAGGUAGGAGCCUUGGAUUCCGGAGCGCUAGCUUCGGAUGAGGCGUUGGUGGGAUACUACCCUGGCUGUAUUGGACUUCUAACCCAUGCCCCUUAUCGGGGCAGGAGACAGUGUCAGGCGGGCAGUUUGACUGGGGCGGUCGCCUCCUAAAGAGUAACGGGGGCGCCCAAAGGUUCCCUCAGAAUGGUUGGACAUCAUUCGUAGAGUGCAAAGGCAUAAGGGAGCUUGACUGCGAGACCUACAAGUCGAGCAGGGUCGAAAGACGGGCUUAGUGAUCCGGUGGUUCCGCAUGGAAGGGCCAUCGCUCAACGGAUAAAAGCUACCCCGGGGAUAACAGGCUUAUCUCCCCCAAGAGUCCACAUCGACGGGGAGGUUUGGCACCUCGAUGUCGGCUCAUCGCAUCCUGGGGCUGUAGUCGGUCCCAAGGGUUGGGCUGUUCGCCCAUUAAAGCGGUACGCGAGCUGGGUUCAGAACGUCGUGAGACAGUUCGGUCCCUAUCCGUCGCGGGCGCAGGAAAUUUGAGAGGAGCUGUCCUUAGUACGAGAGGACCGGGAUGGACAUACCUCUGGUGUACCAGUUGUCUUGCCAAAGGCACCGCUGGGUAGCUAUGUAUGGACGGGAUAAAUGCUGAAAGCAUCUAAGCAUGAAGCCCCCCUCGAGAUGAGAUUUCCCAUUACGCAAGUAAGUAAGAUCCCUCAAAGAAGAUGAGGUUGAUAGGUCUGGGGUGGAAGCACGGCGACGUGUGGAGCUGACGGAUACUAAUCGAUCGAGGACUUAAAC